CCUACGGGAGGCAGCAGUGAGGAAUAUUGGUCAAUGGGCGAGAGCCUGAACCAGCCAAGUCGCGUGAAGGAUGACGGCCCUACGGGUUGUAAACUUCUUUUGUCAGGGAGCAAUUGGGUCCACGCGUGGGCUUAGCGAGAGUACCUGAAGAAAAAGCAACGGCUAACUCCGUGCCAGCAGCCGCGGUAAUACGGAGGAUGCGAGCGUUAUCCGGAUUUUUUGGGUUUAAAGGGUGCGUAGGCGGAAGAGUAAUUCAGCGGUAAAAAUUCGGGGCUCAACCCCGUCGUGCCGUUGAAACUGGUGUUCGUGAGUGGGCGAGAAGUAUGCGGAAUGCGUGGUGUAGCGGUGAAAUGCAUAGAUAUCACGCAGAACUCCGAUUGCGAAGGCAGCAUACCGGCGCCCAACUGACGCUGAAGCACGAAAGCGUGGGUAUCGAACAGGAUUAGAUACCCUUGUAGUC
rnacentral:rRNA from 1 species